UACCAGUCUGCUGAUCAGAAAACCCUGCACUACACUGAUGAGCCCCAAGAAGGGUGAAACUGGUG
rnacentral:hammerhead_ribozyme from 17 species